GCCCUCGUAGCUCAGUCGGUAGAGCAGUUGACUCUUAAUCAAUUGGUCCGCGGUUCGAGUCCGCGCGAGGGCACCA
rnacentral:tRNA from 1 species